GAUGAACGCUGACAGAAUGCUUAACACAUGCAAGUCGAUUCGAUUUACCUUCGGGUAUUGAGGAUGGCGGACGGGUGAGUAACGCGUAAGGAACUUGCCUCUUGGUCUGGGACAACUGUUGGAAACGACAGCUAAUACCGGAUAUUAUGAGAUUCUCGCAUGGGAAACUUAUGAAAGCUAUAUGCGCCAAGAGAGAGCCUUGCGUUCCAUUAGCUAGUUGGUGGGGUAACGGCCCACCAAGGCGACGAUGGAUAGCCGGCCUGAGAGGGUGAACGGCCACAAGGGGACUGAGACACGGCCCUUACUCCUACGGGAGGCAGCAGUGGGGAAUAUUGGACAAUGGGCCACAAGCCUGAUCCAGCAAUUCUGUGUGCACGAUGAAGGUCUUCGGAUUGUAAAGUGCUUUCAGUUGGGAAGAAGAAAGUGACGGUACCAACAGAAGAAGCGACGGCUAAAUACGUGCCAGCAGCCGCGGUAAUACGUAUGUCGCAAGCGUUAUCCGGAUUUAUUGGGCGUAAAGCGCGUCUAGGCGGANAAAUAAGUCUGAUGUUAAAAUGCGGGGCUCAACUCCGUAUUGCGUUGGAAACUGUUUUUCUAGAGUACUGGAGAGGUGGGCGGAACUACAAGUGUAGAGGUGAAANUCGUAGAUAUUUGUAGGAAUGCCNAUGGAGAAGUCAGCUCACUGGACAGAUACUGACGCUAAANCGCGAAAGCGUGGGGAGCAAACAG
rnacentral:rRNA from 1 species